ensembl:snoRNA SNORA62 Small nucleolar RNA SNORA62/SNORA6 family
UUAGCGUAUCAAAAAUUCAGGCUAUCAAAAGUAGGCUGGACUCACAAGUGUAGGUAGUAUGCUACAUGAGGGGCAAGUUUUUUGCUAACAUCACAAGGGUCUUUGGCCCAAUGAGUGGGGUUCGAUAGUAAUACUUGCUACAAAU